UACGUAGGGUGCAAGCGUUGUCCGGAAUUAUUGGGCGUAAAGAGCUCGUAGGCGGUCUGUCGCGUCUGGUGUGAAAACUCAGGGCUUAACCCUGAGCUUGCAUCGGGUACGGGCAGACUAGAGUGUGCUAGGGGAGACUGGAAUUCCUGGUGUAGCGGUGAAAUGCGCAGAUAUCAGGAGGAACACCGGUGGCGAAGGCGGGUCUCUGGGGCAUAACUGACGCUGAGGCACGAAAGCGUGGGUAGCAAACAGG
rnacentral:rRNA from 1 species